AUGUUAAAAGGCAUAAAAAAGGAUGAGAUAGAAACCGAUAUUACCGACGAGAAAACAAAUUUCUCGGUGAAGAGUCGUGUUAAUCUACUCAAUUUCGCGAGACAGUGGAGAGAGGGAAUGGUUGUGAGGUGGAGAGGAGGCAGCAGUGGUGUCUCACGAAGGUUGUUUGAAGGUGGUGAUGACCGAAGGAAAAAUUUAACCAUUCUGGGUAAUGUUUGGAGCAGUUUAUUCUGGAUAGCAAGCAAACUACAGUUUUGGGCAUUAUUUUUGGACUGA